CAUGCAAGUCGAGCGGAUGAAGGGAGCUUGCUCCUGGAUUCAGCGGCGGACGGGUGAGUAAUGCCUAGGAAUCUGCCUGGUAGUGGGGGAUAACGUCCGGAAACGGGCGCUAAUACCGCAUACGUCCUGAGGGAGAAAGUGGGGGAUCUUCGGACCUCACGCUAUCAGAUGAGCCUAGGUCGGAUUAGCUAGUUGGUGGGGUAAAGGCCUACCAAGGCGACGAUCCGUAACUGGUCUGAGAGGAUGAUCAGUCACACUGGAACUGAGACACGGUCCAGACUCCUACGGGAGGCAGCAGUGGGGAAUAUUGGACAAUGGGCGAAAGCCUGAUCCAGCCAUGCCGCGUGUGUGAAGAAGGUCUUCGGAUUGUAAAGCACUUUAAGUUGGGAGGAAGGGCAGUAAGUUAAUACCUUGCU
rnacentral:rRNA from 1 species